CGCCCCGCGCCCUGCGUCGGGUUAAGAGGGGUUCCUCGCCAGCCAGGUGCUCGUCAUACGCCAUGUGGCGCUGCGGCGGGCGGCAGGGGCUGGGUGUGCUGAGGCGGCUGAGCGGCGGACAUGCACACCACAGAGCGUGGCGAUGGAACAGUAACCGGGCUUGUGAGAGGGCUCUACAGUAUAAACUAGGAGACAAGAUCCACGGAUUCACUGUAAACCAGGUGACAUCUGUUCCCGAGCUAUUCCUGACUGCAGUGAAGCUCAGCCAUGAUGACACAGGAGCCAGGUAUUUACACCUGGCCAGAGAAGACACGAAUAAUCUGUUCAGCGUGCAGUUCCGUACCACUCCCAUGGACAGUACCGGUGUUCCUCACAUUCUUGAGCAUACCGUCCUCUGUGGGUCUCAGAAAUAUCCAUGCAGAGACCCUUUCUUCAAAAUGUUGAACCGGUCCCUCUCCACGUUCAUGAACGCCUUCACAGCUAGUGAUUAUACUCUGUAUCCAUUUUCCACACAAAAUCCCAAGGACUUUCAGAAUCUCCUCUCGGUGUAUUUGGACGCCACCUUUUUCCCAUGUUUACGCGAGCUGGAUUUCUGGCAGGAAGGAUGGCGGCUGGAACAUGAGAAUCCAAGCGACCCCCAGACACCCUUGGUCUUUAAAGGAGUCGUCUUUAAUGAGAUGAAAGGAGUGUUUACAGACAAUGAGAGGAUAUUCUCCCAGCACCUUCAGAACAGACUUCUUCCCGACCACACGUACUCAGUGGUCUCUGGGGGUGACCCAUUGUGCAUCCCGGAGCUUACCUGGGAGCAGCUUAAGCAGUUUCAUGCCACUCACUAUCACCCAAGCAAUGCUAGGUUCUUCACGUACGGUAAUUUUCCGUUAGAACAGCAUCUGAAACAGAUUCAUGAGGAAGCACUGAGCAAAUUCCAGAAAAUUGAACCAAGCACCGCGGUGCCAGCUCAGACACCCUGGGACAAGCCUAGGGAAUUCCAGAUAACAUGUGGCCCAGAUUCAUUUGCUACAGAUCCCUCUAAACAAACAACCGUCAGCAUUAGCGUCCUCUUACCAGACAUUACCGACACGUUUGAAGCCUUCACAUUAAGUCUUCUGUCUUCACUCUUGACUUCUGGGCCCAAUUCUCCCUUUUACAAAGCCUUGAUUGAAUCUGGCCUUGGCACAGACUUUUCUCCUGAUGUUGGAUAUAAUGGCUACACGAGGGAGGCCUACUUCAGUGUCGGCCUCCAGGGGAUUGCGGAGAAAGACAUUGAGGCCGUCAGAAGCCUCGUGGACAGAACGAUUGAUGAAGUAGUUAAGAAAGGAUUUGAAGAUGAUCGAAUUGAGGCUUUACUUCAUAAAAUUGAAAUACAGAUGAAACAUCAGUCUACCAGCUUUGGGCUGAUGCUGACGUCAUACAUAGCUUCUUGCUGGAACCACGAUGGGGACCCUGUGGAGCUCUUGCAGUUGGGAAAUCAGUUGGCUAAAUUCAGACAGUGCCUACAGGAAAAUCCAAAAUUUUUGCAGGAAAAAGUAAAACAGUAUUUUAAGAAUAACCAGCAUAAGCUGACUUUAUCGAUGAGGCCAGAUGACAAGUAUCACGAGAAGCAGGCACAGGUGGAAGCCACGAAGCUCAAGCAGAAGGUCGAGGCUCUGUCCCCCAGAGACAGGCAGCAGAUCUACGAGAAAGGUUUAGAAUUACGGACUCAACAAAGCAAACCUCAAGAUGCCUCUUGUCUGCCAGCGUUGAAAGUUUCAGAUAUUGAGCCCACCAUACCUGUCACAGAGUUGGACGUGGUCCUGACAGCCGGAGAUAUCCCUGUUCAGUACUGUGCCCAGCCCACCAAUGGCAUGGUGUAUUUCCGGGCCUUCUCCAGCCUGAACACACUCCCCGAGGAGCUGAGGCCCUAUGUGCCCCUCUUCUGCAGCGUCCUCACCAAGCUGGGCUGUGGCCUCCUUGACUACCGGGAGCAGGCUCAGCAGAUGGAACUGAAGACUGGAGGGAUGAGCGCUUCUCCCCACGUGCUCCCCGACGACUCGCACAUGGACGCCUACGAGCAGGGUGUGCUUUUCUCCUCUCUCUGCCUGGAUCGAAACCUGCCAGACAUGAUGCAUCUAUGGAGUGAAAUAUUUAACAACCCGUGCUUUGAAGAAGAGGAGCACUUCAAGGUGCUGGUGAAGAUGACCGCCCAGGAGCUCGCCAAUGGAAUUCCUGACUCCGGGCACCUGUACGCAUCCAUCAGGGCAGGCCGGACCCUCACGCCCGCAGGGGACCUGCAGGAGACCUUCAGCGGGAUGGAUCAGGUGCGGCUGAUGAAGAGGAUUGCAGAAAUGACAGACAUCAAACCCAUCCUAAGGAAGUUCCCGCGUAUCAAGAAACACUUGUUAAAUGGUGAUAAUAUGAGGUGUUCAGUAAAUGCGACUCCUCAGCAGAUGUCUCAGACAGAAAAAGCGGUCGAAGACUUCCUUAGAAGCAUCGGUCGGAGUAAGAAGGAACGGAGGCCUGUGCGCCCACACACGGUCGAGAAACCUGUGCCCAGCAGCUCUGGUGGAGAUGCCCACGUUCCCCAUGGCUCCCAGAUCAUUAGGAAGCUGGUCAUGGAACCUACCUUCAAGCCCUGGCAGAUGAAGACUCACUUCCUGAUGCCCUUCCCAGUGAAUUACAUGGGUGAAUGCAUCCGAACUGUCCCCUACACAGACCCAGAUCAUGCCAGAAAUUCGAGAAAAAGGCGGUGCUUAUGAUGGAGGCGCAAAACUCAGCCACAAUGGAAUUUUCACCCUUUACUCUUACAGGGACCCAAAUACAAUAGAGACGCUCCAGUCUUUUGGGAAGGCUGUCGACUGGGCUAAGUCUGGAAAAUUCACACAGCAAGACAUCGACGAAGCCAAACUUUCUGUCUUCUCAACCGUAGAUGCUCCUGUCGCUCCUUCAGACAAAGGAAUGGACCACUUCUUGUACGGCCUCUCGGAUGAGAUGAAGCAGGCCUACAGGGAGCAGCUCUUCGCUGUCAGCCACGACAAGCUGCUGGCCGUGAGCGAUAGGUACCUCGGCACUGGGAAGAGCACACACGGCCUGGCCAUCCUCGGACCCGAGAACCCGAAAAUCGCCAAGGACCCAUCCUGGAUCAUCCGAUGAGCAGCCGUGGCGCUCGACUGCGCAGAGCCCAAUAUGCCUCUGAGCUGAGUAUGAAAAGUCCGAAAUGCUACUGCUUUUUCCAAGAAUAUUAUGUCAUUCUUAAAGUGUUGCCAAAGCCCUUGACUGGCGAGUCAGACAAAAACUCAGAUCUAUCUUAAGAGCAACCAGGAAGAGGUUCGUUGAAAUAAUCACGCAUGAAGCACCAAAGAUGCAUCAUGUAGAAUUUUCACUUUCUACUGACAGGCUUGUUUUACCUCAUUCUAGAAUAUUUAUUUAAGAAUCUAAAAAUAAAGGGCAACUCUGAAUUAACCUGUGCUUGAGUCAUUAUUUUAAGUAGCAUUUAGGGCCUUUAUUUAAAAACAAGUAAAAUGAAAAGGUACACAAGGGUGUCCCACGUCUGCCUGUGCGGGUUCAGGAAACUCAAUCACACCAAGGCCCUGGAGGAGUGUCCCCCUAACAGACGGGAGUUCAACUGGGCGGCCGGAUGGAAACCGUCCUGACAAGCAGGUGGGUUGGGGUGAAUAAGCGCUUGCUUCAUCUUUACAGAGCCAGAAAGGAAAGCCUCCACGCCAGCUCUUUCUUGGCCGUUGGACUCUGAUUUCCCAAACAGAGCUUGUUUUUGGCAUCUCCUCUUCCUCCACACAGCUCUCUGCCCCCGUUUCUGAGGCACAGCUGUCGUCUCUUGCAGACUAGAGCUAAGAGGCAGAAACGCUGUCCCUACAGCAGGGGGGCCCACCAGGGCAGUGGGGCUGUCACCCCAGCACCCACGUCUAACAAGAGUCUUCCGGAGAGUUCCAACCUAGGUCCCAGUGACGACUGUGGCUUGGCCUGGAGGAGAAGCUGGCUAUCAGAUUUUUCAACCCACCCCUGCCCCACCCACCCCUUGGUGGUUUUAAUAUGCAGCUAGGAUUGCAAUCAAGAGGACAAGUAACUAAGAUUCAUGUGUUCUACUUUACUUUCAAAGGAGAGCAGAAGCCUGGAGUCGAGACCCAGGGUCCUGGCCUGCUGCUGUGGAUGGAAACUGACACAUGGCAAAUAUGUAACAGUCCUUAUCGAUAGUUGGAACAGAACAAAACAAAACCUGUGAUUCCCGUAGCCUGAACUCGGCCUGUUAAGCGAAAGUAUCAAGUGUUCCCCCUGCCCAGUAAGAUGAGGAUUUUAAUAAACGGAACAAGUCAACUAA